GUCACAUCACUGGGAUUUGAUCGGAUGUACGUGUGGGGGCAGGCGGUGAAAGACCGCCCACUCUCCUUGACACCGUACUGGGUGCUGCCUUCACGUGCUCCUCGUAAACUAGCCCACAACAGCGUAAAACCAAGCUCUGUGUUUUAACUACACUGAAUAUAACCGUUGCAGUUUAGACAACGCUUGUGUGUGAAUAUUGUGAAACUGGAUGACAUCGACUGAAAUGUAACCGGUUCAUCUUCUUCAUGACGUCUGUCUGUUGCCUGUCUGUUAACCGCUGCUUCUGGGGGGCAGGGAGCAUUAUGGAAUAUCGUCGACCAGGGAGCACAUCAUUGACUGCCUCCUCCGUUCCAGUGCGCACUGCUGAAGCGCAGCUGCAUCUCCCCAACUUCCCUGCUGAUUUAGGACUCAUUGAAUCUAUAGUGACACCACGGGCUGUGAAAACAUCGCCAUCUACUGACCCAUUUUCACAGAAUAAUAAACCCUUAUCAAUUUCUGUUUUUUUGCUGUUAAGGAAACAAUUAUGUAACGUUGCUUUACCUUUGAGCUCAAAUCUACAGGUGAGUAUAGAGCAGUGUUUUAACCAUUUAAGUGGAGCACAUCCACAGAUCAUGUCCCCUGUGGAAACCAGUGAUAUCUCAUCUUGUGUCAAACAUAUUUCAUUGCAAAUAUGGAAAAAAAGGGUUUAUUGUAGAUACAAAAUAUUAACAAUCAUUAAACACUGAAAACUAUUAAAUGUAUUAAAGGAUUUUUGGGCAGAUGGACUGCCCAUGACAGUCCAUGAUAAGUUCUUUUAACCAACAGUCCAGUUUCACUUGAUUUCCUUCCGAUGUCUCCCAGCUUGGAACAAGAAAAAUGGCCUUACAGAUACAACUAUAUGAAAUACGACUAAAGUUGAGAGAGAUGAGGUUCUCUGCCAAAGAAAGACACCAACAUAUCUUUUAAUAUCUUGUUUUGUUGGCAUUUGCGUGCUAAGAAAUAAAGCAUCCUUAAAGAUU